CGCUGGCUGCAGCUUAUGUUUAGGGAAGGAAGGUGUGUUGGGGACAGAUGGCAUGGUUUUAAACCUGUCGAUUGUGAGGGGUCUCUGAUUCAUGCAAUGGGAGCCCGCAGCCGGUGAGUUGUUUAGCAGAUGCCACUGGGAGACCUGUUCUUUUCUGAAGGGAAAUGGAGGAAGCAUGGAUCUGGGGGAGAGGCGAGGAUGAAUGAUGCUGUGGUGUGAGCCUGCACCUGUUGCAGCUAUAUUUACCACUGACUUUGGAAGCCAUCUACACUCAUGGGCAUGAAGGCAGAUCUUUAUUAACUCCUCCAAUGACAAUGAUGAUAAUAGCUAACAUUCAUUAAA